rnacentral:lncRNA from 1 species
GGGAGUAUAGAGUUCACCUUCUUUACUUUCAUGCAUACAAAAAUUCAUCUUUUUCACUAAAUUGUUAACGUCACUCUCUAAAUUACUUAAAACUCGAUCCCUCGGUGUAAAAAGCCUAUCCUUAAUUAUUAGACCACAAUCUCUUGCAUCCCUAAUAAUCAAUUAUGCAUUACAAGCAGAAGCUUAAGACAACCAAACAUCAUAUCCUUAUCCCUAGGCAAUAUUUCUUUUGGGUGAAAUUCUC